rnacentral:rRNA from 1 species
CAGUCGCCGCGGUAAUACGAAGGGUGCAAGCGUUAAUCGGAAUUACUGGGCGUAAAGCGUGCGUAGGCGGUUUGUUAAGUCUGCUGUGAAAUCCCCGGGCUCAACCUGGGAAUGGCAGUGGAUACUGGCUCGCUAGAGUGUGUCAGAGGAUGGUGGAAUUCCCGGUGUAGCGGUGAAAUGCGUAGAGAUCGGGAGGAACAUCAGUGGCGAAGGCGGCCAUCUGGGACAACACUGACGCUGAGGCACGAAAGCGUGGGGAGCAAACAGGAUUAGAUACCCCGGUAGUCCCUGUCUCUUAUAC